GAUGAACGCUGGCGGCGUGCCUAAUACAUGCAAGUCGAACGCUGGAAAUCUAGCUUGCUAGAUUGAAGGAGUGGCGAACGGGUGAGUAAUACAUAAGCAACCUACCCACGAAGACUGGGAUAAUCUCUGGAAACGGGGACUAAUACCGGAUAGGUAAUCGGAAGGCAUCUUCUGAUUAUUAAAGGUUAAAAACACUGGUGGAUGGGCUUAUGGCGCAUUAGUUAGUUGGUGAGGUAACGGCCCACCAAGACGAUGAUGCGUAGCCGGCCUGAGAGGGUGAACGGCCACAUUGGGACUGAGACACGGCCCAGACUCCUACGGGAGGCAGCAGUAGGGAAUUUUCGGCAAGGGGGGAAACCCUGACCGAGCAACGCCGCGUGAGUGAUGACGGCCUUCGGGUUGUAAAGCUCUGUUGUAAGGGAAGAACGGUAGAUAGAGAAUAUCUAAAUGACGGUACCUUACCAGAAAGCCACGGCUAACUACGUG
rnacentral:rRNA from 1 species